rnacentral:rRNA from 1 species
AUGACCUCGAAUCAGGUAGGAAUACCCGCUGAACUUAAGCAUAUCAAUAAGCGNNNNNNNNNNNNNNNNNNNNNNNNNNNNNNGUAACGGCGAGUGAAGCGGUAACAGCUCAAAUUUGAAAUCUGGCUCCUUUGGGGCCCGAGUUGUAAUUUGUACGAAGAUGCUUUGGGUGUGGGCCUGGCCUAAGUUCCUUGGAACAGGACGUCGUAGAGGGUGAGAAUCCCGUAUGCGGCUGGCGCCCGCGCCCAUGUAAAGCUCUUUCGACGAGUCGAGUUGUUUGGGAAUGCAGCUCUAAAUGGGUGGUAUAUUUCAUCUAAAGCUAAAUAUUGGCCAGAGACCGAUAGCGCACAAGUAGAGUGAUCGAAAGAUGAAAAGCACUUUGGAAAGAGAGUUAAACAGUACGUGAAAUUGUUGAAAGGGAAGCGCUGGCAACCAGACUUGGGCGCUGUUGAUCCGUUAGGGUUCUCCCUGGGGUACUCAGCAGUGCGCAGGCCAGCAUCGGUUUGGGGGGUUGGAUGAAAGGCUGGUGGAAUGUAGCUGCCCUCGGGCAGUGUUAUAGCCACCGGUGGCAUGCAGCCUCCCCGGACCGAGGACCGCGCUUCGGCUAGGAUGCUGGCGUAAUGGUUGUCAGCGACCCGUCUUGAAACACGGACCAAGGAGUCUAACAUCUAUGCGAGUGUUUGGGUGUCAAACCCAUACGCGGAAUGAAAGUGAACGUAGGUGAGAACCCGCAAGGGUGCAUCAUCGACCGAUCCUGAUGUCUUCGGAUGGAUNUGAGUAAGAGCAUAGCUGUUGGGACCCGAAAGAUGGUGAACUAUGCCUGAAUAGGGUGAAGCCAGAGGAAACUCUGGUGGAGGCUCGCAGCGGUUCUGACGUGCAAAUCGAUCGUCAAAUUUGGGUAUAGGGGCGAAAGACUAAUCGAACCAUCUAGUAGCUGGUUCCUGCCGAAGUUUCCCUC